ACUCCUACGGGAGGCAGCAGUGGGGAAUUUUGGACAAUGGGCGCAAGCCUGAUCCAGCAAUGCCGCGUGCAGGAAGAAGGCCUUCGGGUUGUAAACUGCUUUUGUCAGGGAAGAAAUCUUCUGGGCUAAUACCCCGGGAGGAUGACGGUACCUGAAGAAUAAGCACCGGCUAACUACGUGCCAGCAGCCGCGGUAAUACGUAGGGUGCGAGCGUUAAUCGGAAUUACUGGGCGUAAAGCGUGCGCAGGCGGUUAUGUAAGACAGAUGUGAAAUCCCCGGGCUCAACCUGGGAACUGCAUUCGUGACUGCAUGACUGGAGUGCGGCAGAGGGGGAUGGAAUUCCGCGUGUAGCAGUGAAAUGCGUAGAUAUGCGGAGGAACACCGAUGGCGAAGGCAAUCCCCUGGGCCUGCACUGACGCUCAUGCACGAAAGCGUGGGGAGCAAACAGGAUUAGAUACCCUGGUAGUCCACGCCCUAAACGAUGUCAACUGGUUGUUGGACGGCUUGCUGUUCAGUAACGAAGCUAACGCGUGAAGUUGACCGCCUGGGGAGUACGGCCGCAAGGUUGAAACUCAAAUGAAUUGACGG
rnacentral:rRNA from 1 species